AGCAGCCGCGGUAAUUCCAGCUCCAAUAGCGUAUAUUAAAGUUGUUGCAGUUAAAAAGCUCGUAGUUGAACUUCGGAACCAGUAGGCUGGUCGUGCCUACGGUACGUACUGGCCUUACCGGUUUCUCCCUUCUGACGAACCAUGAUGUCAUUAAUUUGGUGUUGUGGGGAAUCAGGACUGUUACUUUGAAAAAAUUAGAGUGUUUAAAGCAGGCUUUAAGCUUGAAUAGAUUAGCAUGGAAUAACGAAAUAGGACGUUUGAUCCUAUUUUGUUGGUUUCUAGGAUCGACGUAAUGAUUAAUAGGGAUAGUUGGGGGCAUUAGUAUUCAAUUGUCAGAGGUGAAAUUCUUGGAUUUAUUG
rnacentral:sRNA from 1 species